AUAUUUUUUAACAACAUUUCUGUCCUGCUUCUAUAAACUUCAUAUUUCAUGAAUAAUAGGUGUAGUCUUAGGUCAAGUUUAUGUGAAAAUGGCAGCUGGUGUUGCCUUUAUUUUUGUCUACUCAUGUAACUGAGUGUUGCUGAUUUGUGCUUUGACUACAGAACCUUGCUUGGAAACCUUCAGCUUAAUUCAUUCAGGCCUCUAUGAUCCUUUUGACCACUAUGCAUGAAAGGGUUAAAAGCCUUUUAUGGGCAAAGCAUUCACAGCAGAUGUGAGCAAAUUGUAGACUUUGCAACUUAAUAACAAUGUCUUAGCUACCAGAUAAAAGUACAAUGUUAAUGUUCUCACAACAUUUCUCUAAAAGUAAGAAAUAAUAGCACAUCAUACCAUGUGCUAAUCAACUCGCCAUUAUGAAAUAGUCUGAAUACCAUUCUAGCCUCUAAUUAAACUCAGGGGUCAUAAACUAAGCAGAUAACAAUGAAGCCCUCUGUCUUAUAAAAUAUUGCAG